CCUACGGGAGGCAGCAGUGGGGAAUAUUGGGCAAUGGGCGCAAGCCUGACCCAGCAACGCCGCGUGAAGGAAGAAGGCUUUCGGGUUGUAAACUUCUUUUAUCAGGGACGAAGCAAGUGACGGUACUUGAUGAAUAAGCCACGGCUAACUACGUGCCAGCAGCCGCGGUAAGACGUAGGCGGCAAGCGUUAUCCGGAUUUACUGGGUGUAAAGGGCGUGUAGGCGGGAGUGCAAGUCAGAUGUGAAAACUAUGGGCUCAACCCAUAGCCUGCAUUUGAUACUGUACUGCUUGAGUGCUGGUGAGGCAAUCGGAAUUCCGGGUGUAGCGGUGAAAUGCGUAGAUAUACGGAGGAACACCAGUGGCGAAGGCGGAUUGC
rnacentral:rRNA from 1 species